rnacentral:rRNA from 1 species
UACAGAGGUCCCAAGCGUUGUUCGGAUUCACUGGGCGUAAAGGGUGCGUAGGUGGUCAGGUAAGUCUGAUGUGAAAGCUCUGGGCUCAACCCAGAAAUGGCAUUGGAUACUAUCUAGCUAGAGGAAUGGAGGGGGGACUGGAAUACUUGGUGUAGCAGUGAAAUGCGUAGAUAUCAAGUGGAACACCAGUGGCGAAGGCGAGUCCCUGGACAUUUCCUGACACUGAGGCACGAAAGCUAGGGGAGCAAACAGG